UCCUCGGUAGCUCAGUGGUAGAGCAGUUGACUGUUAAUCAAUUGGUCGGGGGUUCGAAUCCCUCCCGAGGAGCCA
rnacentral:tRNA from 1 species